rnacentral:misc_RNA from 1 species
GAAAGUAAAAGUCGUAACAAGGUUUCCGUAGGUGAACCUGCGGAAGGAUCAUUAUUGAAUGAAACACUUCUGGCUUUAUGCUGUUGUGCUGGCCCUUUGGGCAAUGUGCACGCGGCUCCGGUCACUUGUUUCUUCUGUUCCACCUGUGCACUGCCUGUAGACACGCUGUGUCUAUGAUAUUUGUUAACACACAACAAUGUUAGUUGGCAUGUUAUAUAUAAUAAUAAAAUAUACAACUUUCAACAACGGACCUCUUGGCUCUC